CGCACGGGAGGCAGCAGUGGGGAAUCAUGGGCAAAGGGUGCAAGCCUGGCCCAAGCAUGAUCCAUGAGGGAUGAAGGCCUUAGGGUGGCAAACCUGUGUCAGGAGUGAUGAACGGACUUAGGUGAUGACGGUACCUCCAGAGGAAGCCCCGGCUAACUCCGUGCCAGCAGCCGCGGUAAU
rnacentral:rRNA from 1 species